rnacentral:rRNA from 1 species
UACGUAGGGUGCAAGCGUUAAUCGGAAUUACUGGGCGUAAAGCGUGCGCAGGCGGUUGUGCAAGACCGAUGUGAAAUCCCCGGGCUUAACUUGGGAACUGCAUUUGGGACUGCAAGGCUAGAGUACGGCAGAGGGGGGGUAGAAUUCCUGGUGUAGCAGUGAAAUGCGUAGAUAUCAGGAGGAAUACCGAUGGCGAAGGCAGCUCGCUGGGACGGUACUGACGCUGAGACGCGAAAGCGUGGGGAGCAAACAGG